rnacentral:snRNA from 1 species
GUGCUCGCUUCGGCAGCACAUAUCCUAAAAUUGGAACGAUACAGAGAAGAUUAUCAUGGCCCCUGCACAAGGAUGACACACAAAUUCGUGAAGCGUUCCAUAUUUUU